CAAGAACAAGAACAAGAACAAGAAGAACAAGAAGAAGAUUGAGUUUGGCCCAAAGGCAAGUUAUAAAAAUAUUUUAUUUUAUACAUUUAUUUAUAGGUACUCAUUAAUUAAAACGUUGUAAAUCUUCUUUUCCUAUGUUACUGAGAUAUUCGUAAAUUGACAGAGCUCCAACACACACAGCCACAGCAUACAGAAGCCCAUCUCCAUCCCAUCCGUGACUCGUGCCAAGGCCAGGAAUCCAUGCAAAGGAAUACCUCUGGUGAGAUUUCUGAAGAGUCCAGUCUGGAUGGUGGAAGCCUCAUUUUGCAGCCUGUCUGACUGAAACCCGGAGCUCUCUGUUUGCAUUUCAACCCCAGUCUUUUGUUUUCCACCCCUCAAGAGGUUCAACCAGUUCAAACAUCAGAAAAAUCCUCCGGUUCGUGCGGAAGGUCAGCAUUUGAGUGAAUUCUCCAUGAUGAUGAGGCCACAGAGACAUAGACUAGAGGUUCCAGUGCUAGAUCCUGCUGGGUUCUGCUGUUACCUCAAAGAAGAACCAACGAGUAGAAAAAUUACGUCUUUGGCUACAAAAAUAGACAGACAAAUAAGUGUGCAACUGUAAGUCACCGGACAGAAAGGGAAUUGCAGGGCUGUAAGGACUCCUGCUCCCUUGCUCGUCAACUGCAGGUGACAGGUAAAGCGAUUUGCUGCACAAUACAGACACUGUGACACUGUGACACAGGAGGCAAAGAUCAAGGCCUCCUGAGGUCAGCACAUCCUCAUCCAAACCCAGUGAGGAUCCUUCAAUAGGACGUGUGUGUGUGUGUGUGUGUGUGUGUGUGUGUGUGUGCGCGCGCGUGUGAGAGACAGGGGCAGAAACAGAAUGAGUCUUCACAGAAGACCUACGUACAUCUCUCAUGACACCAUUCAUCUAUGAAUUGCAAAUCACUUCUCUCAAAAUACCCAGACACCUGGCCGCAGACUGCCAGCCUAGUGCUAAAAUGGGCACCUUGAUCGGUUCACCCUGGGACUCGAACCACACAGCUGCAUCUGACCUUGGUAAUGGAUAUCUUUGCCAAAAGAAAUAUGAACAACUCUGGGAACUGAUAAAGAACUUGGGAUGGGUCCAAACUCUCCAGAAGUGAUGGCUUUGUUGUCUGCAGUGUCUCAGGGCCAGGCACUUUUCUUAACAGGCAGACUCUAUAGAAUGAAAGCAAAUGGAAGUUCAGACGUGCGCAGAACUGCUCUCUCCCUAAUCUAGGAACAACAACUAAGAUGCUAGCAUUGGAUCACAACUGGUGGUUCACCUUUAAGGUCCACAAAGGAAAAUAGGGCCAAAUGGUUUGCAAGACGAUUUCUAAUGUGUAUCAGGGGUCCUAGGGAUGCCUGCUCCGUUCCACACAGUAGUCUUACUGAAACCCUAAACGGGAUGCAAAUGAGACGAUAUUUGAUAUAAAAUCUGAAUCAAUCUAAGCACUCAGUAAUAGGGAAAGUGGAAAUUAUUGUCUAUCUUGCUAAUGAACUAUUAUACAGCCAUUACAAAUUAAUCAGGAAACUGUCACUAUAUAGCAAAAUUGCCAAGGACAACGUGAGACGCAGAAUGCCAAUUAUAUAGUCACGUGCAUUUUAGAAUUCCAAUCCAUUACAAUUUAUCAGUGUGGAAGAACAAGAGUAUGAGAGCUUCCUGCUCUCCCACCGCUUUUUAAAAUGUCAAUCUAUGGUUUUAAUAUUUUUAGGAGGAGGAGGAGCUAGGAUGGUGGUCAUUCCAAAAGCUGGCCCACGGUAAUCGGUAAUCCCAGUACUUGUGGUAGGAGGCUCAGAAGUCUGGACUGCAUGCAAAAUGCAAAGACCUUAUCUCAAAACAAACCAGAGAGAGAGAGAGAGAGAGAGAGAGAGAGAGAGAGAGAGAGAGAGAGAGAGAGAGGGAGAGGGAGAGAGAGAGAGAGAGGUUUAUAUAUAAAAGUGCUUCACAUCCCUCUUUCUAAAGUAUUUAACAAGUAAGUAAUGGGUGUUUGGACCUUGCCCAUCUGUUGACAGCCAACAGAAACAGAAACAAAACCAUGAAAGCACAGGGCUCACUGCACUCCCUUCACCAGCUCCUGUUUCUCUGAAUGACACCAAAGUUUCCUAGUCUGGACUUUGGACCCUCUACUAAAUAAACACAGGGUAGCACAACCAUGAGAUCGUUGUUUUGAUGUUUGCUUCUCAAAAAAAAAAAAGGAUUUGCAUACAUACAUACAUACCAUACAUACAUACAUCAUACAUACACAGAUACACACACACACCACCUUGCAGACUCUGGGCUCCGUUCUCCAUGGGAAGAUGAAGAAGUGGAAACUGGUGGACUUGAACAUAGCUUUCAGUUCUGCUCCACAUAAACUGGUUCUUCGUGUGUUUAUGUCAAAUAAAUAUAAAUAGAGGGACAGAUUAGCUUCCACUACAGAUCUGCCUCACUGUCUGGGACCAAAAUGUUGAUGAGGCCGAGAGGUGGGCCCAGGAGAUGGCUCAGCGGCUGCCAUUCUUGCCAUACGCGUGCACACCCAGAGUUUGAUUUCAGGAAAAGACAAUGAACCCCGCACAAUUGUCUCCUAACCUCCACAUGCAUGCUAUAGCAUGUGCACAGGCUCUCACACACAAGCAACAAUAAUAAGUAAUAGUCUAAAAAAAGAAUUAGGGUACAUAGGCCAGCACAGCCAUGGAUGAGCGAGUUCCUACCCAACUCCUGAUUGCUCCCACGUUAGGAAACAAUAAGAAAGAAAAGCAGACCCUAUUAAUUUCGUUAUUGAUCUAUAUGAAUUGCACUUCUCCAAAUGAAUAUUUGUCAAUGAUUAUUUGAGGAGAAAAAAACCUUACUUUUACAAGAUAAAAAUAUGUAUCUAUCUAUCCAAUCCAUCACACCCACGUUGCUUAAAAACUGUGGAGACCUUGGGUCAAGGAGACAGCCCAGUUGGCUUUCAGCAGAAAAUGUGCUGCUCUGCACGAAAAUGGCCACUUAAGCAAGAAUGUGGAAAGGAUUUAUCUCCUGAUGGCGAAGUCGGAUCUUCACUCCUGCUCCGUCACAACUGCACAUCAGUCAGGAGUCUCACUCCUGAGCAAAGGGGAGCAGUCAAGUGUCCAGAGGAGCUGAGGACCUAACAUACUAAAAUUACCUUAAUAAGAGUUAAAUUACCCACAUCCUCAAGAAUGAAACGACACCAACAACACUAACGUUUAAAUUAGGAGCAGCAGAACAUAAAGCAGAUCUAUGACCAACGCAUAAACAUUGUCUUCCUACCAUGGGUGACAGGCAGCAAUGGUAUUACUGUGUGUUAGUACUGAGUCGGGAGGGGAGAGGAGGAGGGGCGCUCUGGGCUUCAGCAGAGACUGCUGGUUAUCGUGUUCACUGUAGCAUUCUCAGGCCUGAGAAAGGUUCUCUGAAUGAAUGAAUGAAUGAAUGAAUGAAUGAAUGAAUGAAUGAAUGAAUGAAUGAAUGGUUGAAUGAAUGGUUGAAUGCAUGAGUGCACAAAGAAGGUAAGAGCAUUCGCCAAUAUGAUUGCUUUCCUGUGAGACUAAAGAUCCAUGCAACCUUAGCUCAAAUCAGAGAAGUGGCUAUGUUCACCACACAUUGCAUUUAGAUACUGGGUGUCAAAGUUUAGCUAUGGGCUCCACAUUUAGAACAUGGCUAAGAUAUGCAAAUAGCCCUCUGGGAUCACCCGAAAAAUUCAUCUCUGAAGAGUCAGUCAAUCAUGUUAGAGUUUUGGAAGUUUCUUCCUUAAAUUAAUACACGCACGCACGCACGCACGCACGCACGCACGCACGCACGCACGCACGCACCAUUCCUCUACCUCCCAGUUUGCUGUUCCAAUUGUGUGCAUCAGCUGAGGUUGCUUCUCUGGGAGAAGGAAGUGAGACACAGGCCGAGUGGCCUCCUAACUCCUAGAGCAGCAACCCAAAGAGCAGCCGACCUCCAUUCUCUGGUCCAUCCUGAACUUCCUUUGUAGCGUUUACACCAUCCAGUCGGUUUGCUUGCCUUGUGUCUGCCUGAUUUCUCUCACCAGAAUGUGCUCUCCGGGAGGGCAAGAACCUAGACGGCCUCGGUUUCUUCUCUGACCCCAACCCUGGACAAGGUACCUGCUACCUAGAAGAUUCAGAUUCUGAAAGUGAACGAAUGAAUGCUUAAGCCAACAGUGGUUGAGUGACAGAGCUCACAGUGUACUGCAAAGACCUUCCAUGUUGCUACACACAAAACGGGAUGGGGUCUUGCUUUGUUGUUGUUGAUUUCUUUCCUUUUUGUUUGUUUUUCAAGAC
rnacentral:sRNA from 1 species